AUGCAGGACAAGUGAGACCUUGACCAAUCUGUGGUUGUUCUUCAAGUAUGCACUAGGAUGCAAAAGAAAAUACUCCCUGCGUUUCUGUCUGUCUUUGUGGUUGUUGAGAUUGAAUUGGGGAGUGCAUCU
rnacentral:snoRNA from 1 species